rnacentral:rRNA from 1 species
ACUCCUACGGGAGGCAGCAGUGGGAAUAUUGGACAAUGGGCGAAAGCCUGAUCCAGCCAUGCCGCGUGUGUGAAGAAGGCCCUCGGGUUGUAAAGCACUUUCAGUGAGGAAGAACGCUUGUGGGCUAAUACCCUGCAAGGAAGACAUCACUCACAGAAGAAGCACCGGCUAACUCCGUGCCAGCAGCCGCGGUAAUACGGAGGGUGCGAGCGUUAAUCGGAAUUACUGGGCGUAAAGCGCGCGUAGGCGGCUUGAUAAGCCGGUUGUGAAAGCCCCGGGCUCAACCUGGGAACGGCAUCCGGAACUGUCAGGCUAGAGUGCAGGAGAGGAAGGUAGAAUUCCCGGUGUAGCGGUGAAAUGCGUAGAGAUCGGGAGGAAUACCAGUGGCGAAGGCGGCCUUCUGGACUGACACUGACGCUGAGGUGCGAAAGCGUGGGUAGCAAACAGGAUUAGAUACCCUGGUAGGCUCUG